UACGGAGGGUGCUAGCGUUGUUCGGAAUCACUGGGCGUAAAGGGCGUGUAGGCGGUCUGUUAAGUCUGAUGUGAAAUCCCCUCGCUCAACGAGGGAACUGCGUCGGAUACUGGCAGACUCGAGUACCGGAGAGGAAGGUGGAAUUCCCGGUGUAGCGGUGAAAUGCGUAGAUAUCGGGAGGAACAUCAGUGGCGAAGGCGGCCUUCUGGUCCAGUACUGACACUCAAGUGCGAAAGCGUGGGGAGCAAACAGG
rnacentral:rRNA from 1 species